UGCUGCUCUGCCAAGACCUUCCGUGAAAAAGCUUAAUACUAUUUUGAGUACGUAAUGGAUCACAACGCGAUAUUUUCCCAGGAAACCAUUUGGCGUCCAAAGAGUAAUCAGGUGCCUGAAAGCAUGUGUGACUGGACAUUGCACACGCAUUGGCUACACUGGAGCGGUACAGGCCUACUUACAUGCAGUUUACUUCAUAAUGCUUUGCAUUCCUGUUAUAUUUGCAUAAAAUGUGUGAGGCUCAUAGGCGGCAUUUCCUCCUUGAUGGAAUCGCUUGUGUUAGGCCUUUCCUUCAACUUCCGACUUUUGAACCUCACACCCAUUGACACCGCCAUGUGUUACCAACAUUGACUCAUUUCAUGUAUUGGCCAACAAACGAACUUGUAGGCCUACAUGCCAUGGUUGACACAUUUUAAUAAAACAUGGUUAAUAUUUAAUUAGAGGAACAUACCCCAAAGUACUGAUGAAGCCAUUGACAGUGCCUUCCGCGUAAAGCGACACAAUGUCUCCAAUAUGAAGAAAACUAGAUCUGUUGUCUGACAUUUUCGCUUAAUUCUGUCCAAAAGUUGGCUUUCCAGGACAAUGACCCAACACACAUCCAGGCUGUGUAAGGGCUAUAUGACCAAGGAGAGUGAUGGAGUGCUGCAUCAGAUGACCUGGCCUCCACAAUCACCCGAGCUCAACCCAAUUGAGAUGGGUUGGGUUGAGUUGGACCGCAGUGAUGGAAAAGCAGCCAAUAAGCACUCAGCAUAUGUGGGAACUCCUUCAAAACGGUUGGAAAAGCAUUCCUCAUGAAGCUGGUGGAGAGAAUGCCAAAUGUGCAAAGCUUUGUAACGCCAUGUAUUUGCUAUUUGUGUUUACGGCUAAGACCCCUCAUGUUCUCCAAUUAUGAGGUGAUGACCACUCCACUACCAGUGUCAACUCUCUCCUGACAUGAACUGAUGCCAUGUCCCAUCAUCCACUAGAGCAUUUAAUAUUUCCUCUCCAAGCACUAUGCUUAGCCCUAUGCAUUUUUUUUAUUACUUAAAUUCAUUAACACAAUCACAUUAUUACACAUCAAUUCAAUUUCACACCCUGCUUGGACUGUCAUUCAUAGCCCUUUUGUCUAACUGUGUUGUGUACUGUUUUGUAUUCCCAGACAAAUAUUUUCCUGCCCUCGCGGAAGAGUUGAGCUCUUCUCCAACACCCUCUAUCCAUGAUGAGCCCAUCAUGUCCUGAAGUCAAGCCACUGAAGACAUCAACCCAUCCUGUCAUGUCCUGAAGCCAAGCCUCUGAACACAUCAAGUCUCGCAGCACUCGGACUGGUCAGACACCAAACGAUAUCCUGUACCUGGCAGCAGCUUCCAUGGUCAACUUGGACAGCCUGAUCCCCCAGCAUCUGUCCAUACAGUACCGCCUGCUGGCUUGUGAAAAAUAAAGACCCAUUGUACCUUG